AUUGAACGCUGGCGGCAGGCCUAACACAUGCAAGUCGAACGAGUGGCGGACGGGUGAGUAAUGUCUGGGAAACUGCCCGAUGGAGGGGGAUAACUACUGGAAACGAUAGCUAAUACCGCAUACCAUCGGAUGUGCCCAGAUGUGAUUAGCUAGUAGGUGGGGUAAAGGCGCACCUAGGCGACGAUCCCUAGCUGGUCUGAGAGGAUGACCAGCCAAACGGGAACUGAGACACGGUCCAUACUCCUACGGGAGGCAGCAGUGGGGAAUAUUGCACAAUGGGCGCAAGCCUGAUGCAGCAAUGCCGCGUGUAUGAAGAAGGUCUUCGGGUUGUAAAGUACUGUCAGCGAGGAGGCGUUACUCGCAGAGGAAGCACCGGCUAACUCCGUGCCAGCCGCCGCGGUAAUAC
rnacentral:rRNA from 1 species